rnacentral:lncRNA from 1 species
GAGAUCGGACUUCCCCAAGUAUGGUUGGGUGUCGAGAGGAUCAGACUUCACCCUUUAAUGACUCUUUCGGAAGGUUUUAUAUGUUUUACUAUUGCACUGUAAGUUCAUCGCUUCUAAGGUUAUCCACAUUAUUAAUUUACUAUUCUCUUAUUUUCUAGUUCAUGUUUAGCCUAGAGUUCAUAUGCCACUAUAUAUGUUUACACCUUAAAUUUCAACCUAGGUAAGAUGCCACUCUUGUUCACCUACAUCCAAGUUCACAUUAUACUUACAUGCAC